UACGUAGGGGGCAAGCGUUGUCCGGAAUCAUUGGGCGUAAAGCGCGUGUAGGCGGCCAGAAAAGUCCGCUGUGAAAACUCGAGGCUCAACUUCGAGCUGUCGGUGGAAACUUUCUGGCUAGAGUCCGGAAGAGGAGAAUGGAAUUCCUGGUGUAGCGGUGAAAUGCGCAGAUAUCGGGAGGAACACCGGUGGCGAAGGCGGUUCUCUGGGCCUGUACUGACGCUGAGGAGCGAAAGCGUGGGGAGCGAACAGG
rnacentral:rRNA from 1 species